rnacentral:misc_RNA from 1 species
GGCGCCAGGGGAAGGGGC